rnacentral:rRNA from 1 species
AGAGUUUGAUCAUGGCUCAGAUUGAACGCUGGCGGCAGGCCUAACACAUGCAAGUCGAACGGUAACAGGAAGCAGCUUGCUGUUUCGCUGACGAGUGGCGGACGGGUGAGUAAUGUCUGGGAAACUGCCUGAUGGAGGGGGAUAACUACUGGAAACGGUAGCUAAUACCGCAUAACGUCGCAAGACCAAAGAGGGGGACCUUCGGGCCUCUUGCCAUCGGAUGUGCCCAGAUGGGAUUAGCUUGUUGGUGGGGUAACGGCUCACCAAGGCGACGAUCCCUAGCUGGUCUGAGAGGAUGACCAGCCACACUGGAACUGAGACACGGUCCAGACUCCUACGGGAGGCAGCAGUGGGGAAUAUUGCACAAUGGGCGCAAGCCUGAUGCAGCCAUGCCGCGUGUAUGAAGAAGGCCUUCGGGUUGUAAAGUACUUUCAGCGGGGAGGAAGGGAGUAAAGUUAAUACCUUUGCUCAUUGACGUUACCCGCAGAAGAAGCACCGGCUAACUCCGUGCCAGCAGCCGCGGUAAUACGGAGGGUGCAAGCGUUAAUCGGAAUUACUGGGCGUAAAGCGCACGCAGGCGGUUUGUUAAGUCAGAUGUGAAAUCCCCGGGCUCAACCUGGGAACUGCAUCUGAUACUGGCAAGCUUGAGUCUCGUAGAGGGGGGUAGAAUUCCAGGUGUAGCGGUGAAAUGCGUAGAGAUCUGGAGGAAUACCGGUGGCGAAGGCGGCCCCCUGGACGAAGACUGACGCUCAGGUGCGAAAGCGUGGGGAGCAAACAGGAUUAGAUACCCUGGUAGUCCACGCCGUAAACGAUGUCGACUUGGAGGUUGUGCCCUUGAGGCGUGGCUUCCGGAGCUAACGCGUUAAGUCGACCGCCUGGGGAGUACGGCCGCAAGGUUAAAACUCAAGUGAAUUGACGGGGCCCGCACAAGCGGUGGAGCAUGUGGUUUAAUUCGAUGCAACGCGAAGAACCUUACCUGGUCUUGACAUCCACGGAAGUUUUCAGAGAUGAGAAUGUGCCUUCGGGAACCGUGAGACAGGUGCUGCAUGGCUGUCGUCAGCUCGUGUUGUGAAAUGUUGGGUUAAGUCCCGCAACGAGCGCAACCCUUAUCCUUUGUUGCCAGCGGUCCGGCCGGGAACUCAAAGGAGACUGCCAGUGAUAAACUGGAGGAAGGUGGGGAUGACGUCAAGUCAUCAUGGCCCUUACGACCAGGGCUACACACGUGCUACAAUGGCGCAUACAAAGAGAAGCGACCUCGCGAGAGCAAGCGGACCUCAUAAAGUGCGUCGUAGUCCGGAUUGGAGUCUGCAACUCGACUCCAUGAAGUCGGAAUCGCUAGUAAUCGUGGAUCAGAAUGCCACGGUGAAUACGUUCCCGGGCCUUGUACACACCGCCCGUCACACCAUGGGAGUGGGUUGCAAAAGAAGUAGGUAGCUUAACCUUCGGGAGGGCGCUUACCACUUUGUGAUUCAUGACUGGGGUGAAGUCGUAACAAGGUAACCGUAGGGGAACCUGCGGUUGGAUCACCU